rnacentral:rRNA from 1 species
CCUACGGGUGGCAGCAGUCGGGAAUAUUGCGCAAUGGAGGAAACUCUGAAGCAGCGACGCCGCGUGCAGGAAGAAGGUCCUCGGAUUGUAAACCGCUUUAGACAGGGAAGUAAAAAGACAGUACCUGUAGAAUAAGCUCCGGCUAACUACGUGCCAGCAGCCGCGGUAAUACGUAGGGGGCAAGGGUAACCCGGAUUUAUUGGGGGUAAAGGGUGCGUAGACGGAGAAGCAAGUUAGUUGUGAAAUCCCUCGGCGUAACUGAGGAACUGCAACUAAAACUACUUCCCUUGAGUACUGGAGAGGAAGGUGGAAUUCCUGGUGUAGCGGUGAAAUGCGUAGAUAUUAGGAGGAACCCCGGUGGCGAAGGCGACUUUCUGGACUGUAACUGACGUUGAGGCACGAAAGUGUGGGGAGCAAACAGGAUUAGAUACCCUAGUAGUC